rnacentral:rRNA from 1 species
AUUAAACGCUGGCGGAAUGCUUUACACAUGCAAGUCGAACGGUAGAGGGGGGCAACCCCUUGAGAGUGGCGAACGGGUGAGUAAUAUAUCGGAACGUGCCCAGUCGUGGGGAUAACAUAGCGAAAGUUACGCUAAUACCGCAUACGAUCUAAGGAUGAAAGCGGGGGACUCGCAAGAGCCUCGCGCGAUUGGAGCGGCCGAUAUCAGAUUAGGUAGUUGGUGGGGUAAAGGCUCACCAAGCCAACGAUCUGUAGCUGGUCUGAGAGGACGACCAGCCACACUGGAACUGAGACACGGUCCAGACUCCUACGGGAGGCAGCAGUGGGGAAUUUUGGACAAUGGAGCAAGUCUGAUCCAGCCAUUCCGCGUGCAGGAUGAAGGCCUCGGU